UACGUAGGGUGCGAGCGUUAAUCGGAAUUACUGGGCGUAAAGCGUGCGCAGGCGGUUUUGUAAGCCAGAUGUGAAAUCCCCGGGCUUAACCUGGGAAUGGCAUUUGGGACUGCAAGGCUUGAGUGCGGCAGAGGAGACUGGAAUUCCUGGUGUAGCAGUGAAAUGCGUAGAUAUCGGAAGGAACAUCAGUGGCGAAAGCGGCUUCCUGGACCAGCACCGACGUUCAGGCACGAAAGCGUGGGGAGCAAACAGG
rnacentral:rRNA from 1 species